rnacentral:rRNA from 1 species
CAGAUCGUCGAGAUUAU